rnacentral:lncRNA from 1 species
UGUACUAAUUUUGAAAGGAGAGGCUCAUGAAUAUUUAACUUACUGGGACAUAUAGAAAUAGUAGAUAUUAGAGGACCAUAUCUUCCUCUCUUAGGGAUACAUGUUGUCCCUUUCCUAGCCCAAUACAAACGGAUCUCUAGGGUAUUGUUCGUCACAGUCACAUUAGUUUGUUUAAUGACUUCUUUACCAAUUCCAUUUGCCUCCUCCAUGAUAUUGAAAUCCUCCCACACCAACUUGCCCUGAAGUAAAAUGUCCCAAUCAAUAAUUCUCCUUAAAAUAGAUAAAUAUGUUCUUAUGAUAUAGUAACUGGCUACCUGAAUAUAGAUAUUAAAUAUGCGUCUUCCAAGCUUGCUAUAUGCUUCCUCAUCUGUAAAUUCUAGCUCCGCAAAGUGGAGGUGAUUACUACCAAAAAGUGCUAUUUUGUAGACCUAAUUAUAAUGGUUUUAAGCACCUUUGUGUAGUAAUCAUAUUCAUUUAACCCAAUUAAUUCAUUAAGGUCCUUAGUAAUUGGUUUUAACCAUUUUGUGGCAAGUUUACAUGUUUAUAUCAGCUUAUGAAUCAAUUCAAGCAUGCCAAAUGAUGGAGGAGCUACUUGGACAAGUUAAAGCAAGCUUUUAGCUACACCAAAGCAAGCCAACAAAAGGAGAAAAGCAAAGAGAAGCAAAAAGAAGCAAAGAGGAAAAUAGAGGACAACAGCUGCAGUCUUCUUUGGCACUUUUGGAGCACUUUCCGAAGUCCAUUUUCUACAUGCUAUAUACCAUUUCAAAGCUCAGGAAGUCAAGAAUCCAACGCUUCAAACCGUGUAUGAUUUGGAGCUGAAAUGAGGAAGAUAUGGCCUUCGGAAGACAACUGCUCCAGGCUUGUGCGAAAAUUUCACACAACACCUUCCAAAUUCGCACACCCCCUUGCGUGGUGCGAAUUUUCCCCUGUUUCUGCCGACUCCACACGAAAUCUUUUCUUUUGGAUAUUUUUGUAUAAAUUUCCAUUCUUCUCCUUGUAAUCCACCAAUCAUAAGAUUUCUUAGCUAGGAAGGUUGGAAAAACUUCUCUAUUUAUAUCUCCUUGCAUCCGUUGUAACAUAUAUUGAUAUAUUGAUAUAUAGAUAUAGAAUACAUAUUACGUUUGACACUUAGAAUAUUUACAGAGCUCUCCCGUUUCUAUUUUCUUAGUAGCCAAAUAGCCUCUGAGGGUUUUUUCUCAAAGGAUGAUUGACUAAAACUUUUAGUUUCUCAAAGUAUGGAUGUUAUGUGAUGACUUGGAUGCAAUCCCAUGGAAAUUUCUCGCACUCGGAAGGUAAGGUAGUCGUUUUUCAUUAAAGGUUCAUUAAUGCAAAGUUUGGUUUUUAUUUCCUUUGGACAACUUCCAACGGCCAAUACUUGAUAAGCUUUUGGAUUUCUAUCCAUUAGUUAUCUCCUACGAGCUAUUGGAAGGUGAGGUUUUCAAUUCCAAGUUUUGUAUUAAUCCGUUAGAACCAAUUUCAAUGGCCAUUGAAAGGUGAGUUUAUCACUUGGAAUGACUUUGAGUUGCCAAUAUUUGGUAAUCUUUUGGCUUUAGACCAUUAGUUAUCUCUUACGAGCCAUUCAAAGGAAGUCUAAGGUGAAUAACCAUUGAUGAAAUUCACUACCAUCUAUUUUGCCAUUUUAAAGGAUUAAAACUUGAUUUGCUAAAUCCAUACCGGUUCGGGAAGCAAGCAUCACCAUAGUUGCAACCCCAACGCGAGGAGCCUAUCCUGAGAUUUCCAAUUCGCAUAAGAGCCAGAGCAUAGCUAUCCUAUCUUUGAGAAACUUGUUUUUACACCCUUUCAUUUUAGUCUUUAAUGUUAGCUUAGAUUAGUUUAAAUCUUUCUAAAACAUUUACAUCUUCUUUUAAAGCUAACAUCCAUAAGAAAAUCACCUAUUUUCCUAAUUUGAAUAUCACUUGUGUUUGUGAAAACCCUUCCCAGUGAACGAUCCUAGAACCACUAUGCUAUAGUAGCUUGGCUACUUUAGUAAUAGUAUUCAAGGUAUAAAUUUUGUUGAUACGCCUUUAAAGCUAAGCUACCAUGAGUCGAAUCAGGAGGCGUACAUUGUAAUCUCCAUUUUUCAGACAAAAUCCAAAAUAGGUGAAGGAAAGGGGAGCUUUAUGUGCUGUCAUGUACAACACUGAGUGAUUCAUUGAGAGGACAGAGGAAUUUGAUUCAAUAUAUUUAUCUCCAUCAUCACUAUCAUCAUCCAUGAAGUCUCCUGUGCUGCUAAAUCCCCAAUUUGUACUGAUAAAAUUUCUUGAUGCACUUCCUCUACCAUCUAUAUCUCCUUCAUACUUGAUGUUCCCAAAGUUAUUUUUAAUAAUUUCAUUAGCUCCACCGUAGUUUAUAUGC